GUAGGAUACAAGACUACCUCUUCCGUUCAUCAGUUAGCCCCUUAUUGAGGUAGGAUCCAGGCCUACCUCUUCCGUUCAUCAGUUAGCCCCUUAUUGAGGUAGGAUCCAGGCCUACCUCUUCUGUUCAUCAGUUAGCCCCUUAUUGAGGUAGGAUACAAGACUACCUCUUCCGUUCAUCAGUUAGCCCCUUAUUGAGGUAGGAUACAAGACUACCUCUUCCGUUCAUCAGUUAGCCCCUUAUUGAGGUAGGAUCCAGGCCUACCUCUUCUGUCACCUAGACUAGAGUUCCUUUUUGAUUGAAAACCAAAUUAAAACCUGUUGCUUUGUGAAAACGUUCAAAACCCUGGAUCCGUUACAAUGACUUGGAUCACGUCGAACGGGGGAGUCCGAAUUUACUGACACCCUUGACAAAGAUGAGAAAUAAUGACUGUGUAAAAUCAACAAUUCAAAUACUGAGCUAUAUUGUAUGCUCAACAAAAUGGGGAAUUAUAUUAUUUUAUACGAAUACAAUUGCCCAGAGAAAGAUUUUGUCUAACAAUAUUUUUUUUUUUUCUCAAAAAGGUAGGGGGUCAAAAGUUUAGUAUUUGGUCCCAUAUUCCUAGCAUGCAAUGACUACAUCAAGCCUGUGAAACUUGUUGGAUGUAUUUGCAAUUAGUUUUUUUUUUUGUAUUUCAGAUUAUUUUGUGCCCAAUAGAAAUUAAUGGUAAAUAAUGUAUUAUGUCAUUUUGGAGUCACUUUUAUUGUAAAUAAGAAUAUAAUAUGUUUCUAAAUACUUCUACAUUCAUGUGGAUGCUGCCAUGGUUACAGAUAAUCCUGAAUGAAUCGUGAAUAAUAAUGAAUAGUGAGAAAGUUACAGAGGGUCAAAGAUCAUACCCCCAAGAUAUGCUAACCUCUCAUUAGGGCCUACACAGGGAGGUUAGCAUGUAAUAUCAUACCCCCAAGACAUGCUAACCUCUCACCAUUACCAAUAACAGAGGAGGUUAGCAUGUAAUAUCAUACCCCCAAGACAUGCUAACCUCUCACCAUUACCAAUAACAGGGGAGGUUAGCAAGUAAUAUCAUACCCCCAAGACAUGCUAACCUCUCACCAUUAUCAAUAACAGAGGAGGUUAGCAUGUCUUGGGGGUAUGAUAUUACAUGCUAACCUCCCCUGUUAUUGGUAGCAUGAUCUUUGACCCACUAACUUUCUCACUCGCUCAUUAUUCACAAUUAAUUUAAGAUUAUCAUGGUACAUUAAUUUAAUUUCACCUGGAUUUACCUGGUCAGUCUAUGUCAUGGAAAGAGUGUAUAUACAGUAUAUACAAUGGGGAGAACAAGUAUUUGAUACACUGCCGAUUUUGCAGGUUUUCCUACUUACAAAGCAUGUAGAGGUCUGUCAUUUUUAUCAUAGGUACACUUCAACUGUGAGAGACGGAAUCUAAAACAAAAAUCCAGAAAAUCACAUUGUAUGAUUUUUAAGUAAUUAAUUUGCAUUUUAUUGCGUGCAGUAAGUAUUUGAUCACCUACCAACCAGUAAGAAUUCCAGGCUCUCACAGACCUGUUCGUUUUUCUUUAAGAAGCCCUCCUGUUCUCCACUCAUUACCUGUAUUAACUGCACCUGUUGGAACUUGUUACCUCUAUUUCUGGAAAACCUGGGAAUUUUGAGAAAAUUAACAGAAUUUUGCAAACCUAAUCACCAUACCCAUAAAUACAGUAUAUGUCUUCAUUCAAACCCCCCAAGGAACAAACACUAAGUUUAUAUGACUUCAAAGUUACAGAAAUUCCCAGGUAUUGCCCUAUAUGUGGAUAUACUAAUACCAUGGCAACAUUUGUGUGUGUGUGUGUGUGUGUGUG
ensembl:lncRNA